rnacentral:rRNA from 1 species
GACGAACGCUGGCGGCGUGCCUAAUACAUGCAAGUAGAACGCACAGUUUAUACCGUAGCUUGCUACACCAUAGACUGUGAGUUGCGAACGGGUGAGUAACGCGUAGGUAACCUGCCUGGUAGCGGGGGAUAACUAUUGGAAACGAUAGCUAAUACCGCAUAAUAUUGAUUAUUGCAUGAUAAUUGAUUGAAAGAUGCUAUUGAAUCACUACCAGAUGGACCUGCGUUGUAUUAGCUAGUAGGUGAGGUAACGGCUAACCUAGGCGACGAUACAUAGCCGACCUGAGAGGGUGGUCGGCCACACUGGGACUGAGACACGGCCCAGACUCCUACGGGAGGCAGCAGUAGGGAAUCUUCGGCAAUGGACGAAAGUCUGACCGAGCAACGCCGCGUGAGUGAAGAAGGUUUUCGGAUCGUAAAGCUCUGUUGUAAGAGAAGAACGGGUGUGAGAGUGGAAAGUUCACACUGUGACGGUAUCUUACCAGAAAGGGACGGCUAACUACGUG